rnacentral:rRNA from 1 species
AAGUCGUAACAAGGUUUCCGUAGGUGAACCUGCGGAAGGAUCAUUAUUAUAACAAACUCUUUGCGAAAGCGAAGUUUUAAACCCUUUGUGAACCAAAAACCUUUUUAGCUUCGGUAGCCUUGUAGCAAUGUUGCAGUUGUUGCAUGUUAGCCUGCCGGUGGCACCCCAAUCAAAACUAUUAUUUAAAAUCUAGUCUGAAUAUAAAUUUUCGAAUGAAAAUCAAAACUUUCAACAACGGAUCUCUUGGUUCUCGCAUCGAUGAAGAACGCAGCGAAACGCGAUAGUUAAUGUGAAUUGCAGAAUUCAGUGAAUCAUCGAGUCUUUGAACGCACAUUGCGCCCCUUGGUAUUCCGAAGGGCAUGUCUGUUUGAGCGUCAUUACGACACUUCGUUAAAUGGUUUUGUACCAGUAAACGGUUAUGGAUCUGGCUGGUGUUCUGGUUGAAUGACCAGCUUCACGUCAGAUUCUAAAUUACAUGUGUGAAUGCUCUGCUAGCCGGACCUUGAAAAACUUUACGUAGUAGUAAUCACAAACCGUUCAGUUGAUUAAGGGACGCAUGGCCUGAAAAAUAAUGUCUACCUCUCUAGGUUUGACCUCAGAUCAGACAAGGAUACCCGCUGAACUUAAGCAUAUCAAUAAGCGGAGGAAAAGAAACCAACAGGGAUUGCCUCAGUAACGGCGAGUGAAGCGGCAACAGCUCAAAUUUGAAAUCUGAAGCUUUUAGUUUCCGAGUUGUAAUUUGAAGAGGAUGUUUCGGUUGUAACUGUGGCCUAAGUUCCUUGGAACAGGACGUCGUAGAGGGUGAGAAUCCCGUACACGGCUAACAGUUUACCUCCAUGUGUAACUCCUUCGAAGAGUCGAGUUGUUUGGGAAUGCAGCUCAAAAUGGGUGGUAAAUUUCAUCUAAAGCUAAAUACUGGCGAGAGACCGAUAGCGCACAAGUAGAGUGAUCGAAAGAUGAAAAGCACUUUGAAAAGAGAGUUAAACAGUACGUGAAAUUGUUGAAAGGGAAGCGUUUGCAAUUAGACUUGCUUUCGGUUGAUCAACGUUCCUUUUGGUUCGUGCACUCUGCCGUUCGCAGGCCAGCAUCGGUUAGGGCGGUGGGACAAAGACUCUGAGAAUGUGGCUUUCUUCGGGAAGUGUUAUAGCUCAGUGUGUAAUGCCACCAGUCCUGACUGAGGUCCGCGCUUUUGCUAGGAUGCUGGCAUAAUAGUUGUAAACGACC